CCUGUAGUCCCAGCUACUCAGAAGGCUGAGGCAGGAGAAUAGGGUGAACCCAGGAGGCGGAGCUUGCAGUGAGCCGAGAUCACGCCACUGCACUCCAGCCUGGGCGACAGCAUGAGACUCCGUCACAAAAAAAAAAAAAGAAAGAAAAGAAAAAAAAACAAGGGAAACAGUAACCGGGCGUGGUGGCAUGCACCUGUGGUCCCAGCUACUUGGAAGGCCGAGGUGGAAGGAUCCCUUGGGCCUGAAAGAUUGAAGCUACAGUGAGCCAUGAUCGCACCACUGCACUCCAGCCAGGACUGCAGCUCUGGAGCAACAGAGCAAGACCCUGUCUUUAAAAAAAUCAAAAAAUACAAGAACAAAGUAGAAGGGUCAUAUGAAUUCUGGGGUCUAGCAUCAUUGGAGUCUUUAGUGUCCUGAGAGUCACACAUGGGCUUGGGCCGCAGGUGCAGCGUGAGGCCCUGUUCAUGAAGAGUGAGCGACACGCGGCCGAGGCGCAGCUGGCCACAGCAGAGCAGCAGCUACGGGGGCUACGGACCGAGGCGGAAAGGGCUCGCCAGGCCCAGAGCCGGGCCCAGGAGGCUCUGGACAAGGCCAAGGAGAAGGACAAGAAGAUCACAGAACUCUCCAAAGAAGUCUUCAGUCUUAAGGAGGCCUUGAAGGAGCAGCCGGCCGCCCUGGCCACCCCCGAGGUGGAGGCCCUCCGUGACCAGGUGAAGGAUUUGCAGCAGCAGCUGCAGGAAGCUGCCAGGGACCACUCCAGCGUGGUGGCUUUGUACAGAAGCCACCUCCUAUACGCCAUUCAGGUGAGUGGCCCAGCUCCCGGGUGCCCGGGUGGCUUUGGGCAGGCCGCUAUUGCUCUCUGGGUCUCAGGUUCCCCUUCUGUACAGUGGGAGGCUGGUCCUGGGGAGAGGUUCGUGGCAUGUGGGAGCCCACCUGUGUGCAUUUCCCUCCUGGCUGGCUUGGUCUUUGGGAGUGGUGGAGGGGCCUGGGGCAGCCGUCGGGGAUACACUCAGGAUCCCCCUCUACUCCCCCCACCCUAGGGCCAGAUGGAUGAAGAUGUGCAGCGGAUUCUCAGCCAGAUUCUGCAGAUGCAGAGACUCCAGGCUCAGGGCCGCUGAGAAAGGCCAGGCCCAGUGGCUACACUGACCACACCCACGCAGGGGCCUCAUGCCCCUGCAGGCCCCUUGCAGACCGGCUUCACUUGGCCCCAUCCGGACCCAUGCACUUGGAGACCAGCCUGGGUCCCUGCCCGACCAUCCCCAGCUGGCUCCAUCGCCCCACCUGGUCUCUGCACGCAGGCACUGGUCAGUCUGGACCCGGGGCGUGACCGCCCCUCCCCCACCACCGGAGAAUCUGUGAGUCCCUGUGUCCUCCACAUCCAGACGCCAGCCCAGGAAUAAAGGCAUUCUGUGCACAGGACCAAUGCGUGCCG
rnacentral:lncRNA from 1 species